AUAGUAACCUCGUGCCGGGGCCUCGACGACCAAGGACGAGCCCCCAGGGCGAGGUGCGGUCAUUGCACUGCGCUCGCGUUAACCCCUGCUACUACCCCAAACUGGGGCAGAUUGGGCAGGUCAAUUGC
rnacentral:snRNA from 1 species